CGUCAGUAGUCUCGCCACUGUCAUAGUGAAGGGGUUGUUGGUGCUGUGAGUUGGCGAAUCUCGGCCCGAGUCUUCAUCUCCUCAGUGCUACUUUUCUUUCAUGAAAAUAACUCGGUUUCAUGAGAACAAUAAGCAAGCCGAAUGUUAAUCAAACGAGGGGGAUUAUUUUCCCGUGAGGUUUAAGACUUUGAUAAAAGAAUAAUAUUCGUGAAUAGCAAAGACAGUUGGAGAUUGCAACUUUGGCAGAAAAGAGUACAUAUGUACACUCAAUUUGCACACAGGGGAAAUGUGCAAACGAGAUGGGAAUGGCAAGACCCAUGAGUUACCAGAACAAUCGGUGUUAUCAUAAAAAUUCCAUAUAUAGUCAGAAUUGGAUCUGGACAAUCAUUCGUGGCGUCAUUCAGCUCUACCAUCACCACAACAGGACGUUAUUUCCACCAGAAACACGGUGGGAGUUGGAAGGCAGAGAGACGACAUCAUUCGGGAGAAAACUGACUCGGUUUACGAGAUGUAACCCAGCUUUCUUCCAGAUCCUCAGAGGAGCGUUGGGAUGAAACCCGGGCAUCUGGUACAAGCUGGAAAUAUAGAGGAUACAAAAUCCGGGCAAAUAUUUCACGUGGCCGUUCUGUUAAUGAGAGGUCGGUGGGACUUUUGCCCGUAUUCCAGUGUUCGAGCUCUCGUCGAAAAAAAGAAUUCAUCAAGACCACAUACAACAAUUCCUACAAAUAACCCUGGAACGACUUUGGAUAGCAGUUUCCAGUCUUUUCCACGAAUCGGACACUAAUUCCUCCGUGGAAUGUUUUGACAGGCGAAUUCUCUGUUCUCACACCUCAAAGAGAGGAAUGCAAUUUGAGAGGAAUUCGAAUGUAAACAACGUGUAUCGGCUCUUAGUUAUGGACCAAUAAAAGAA